UGACUGCGUGUCCCAUCGUUAGGAACCCGGAGUGGGGACAGAGGGAGGCUGUCUGACUGCGUGUCCCAUCGUUAGGAACCCGGAGUGGGAGCGGAGGAGGGAGGCUGUCUGUCUGUGUGUCCCAUCGUUAGGAACCCGGAGUGGGAGCGGAGGAGGGAGGCUGUCUGGCUGCGUGUCCCAUCGUUAGGAACCCGGAGUGGGAGCGGCGGAGGGAGGCUGUCUGUCUGUGUGUCCCAUCGUUAGGAACCCGGAGUGGGGGCGGAGGGAGGCUGUCUGGUUGUGUGUCCCAUCGUUAGGAACCCGGAGUGGGAGCGGAGGAGGGAGGCUGUCUGUCUGCGUGUCCCAUCGUUAGGAACCCGGAGUGGGGGCGGAGGAGGGAGGCUGUCUGUCUGCGUGUCCCAUCGUUAGGAACCCGGAGUGGGGGCGGAGGAGGGAGGCUGGCUGGCUGUUCCCCCCACUGCUUGCUUCCAAAGCUCCUGCUCCAAGAGGACUCUGUAUCUGCUUCGCUGGCUUCAGGCUCUGGGUUUGGUGCACUAGGGCCUAUCUCCACAUCAAUCAGUUUGCUAAUAAAGGAAUUUCCCAUUGUUGCCCCCUAGAGUAAGGACUGCCUGGGGAAAAGGCCAUCAGUGAAACAGCGGAGCCUCAGCCACACUAGCUUUUCUGGGGAUAUUUCCUCACAUGCAGGCAGAGCCCUGGUUGGAGCAAGAGUGGGAGUAGGUGCAGAGCAGGCUCCAGGUCUCUUGGAAGGCCCCUCAUUCCUCCCCUCCAUGUAGCGGGCAGCUGCUCUGAUGACCAUGAGGUUAAAAGGCUGCUGGCAAGUUUACCUGAGGCGCCAACCCAUGUUCCCACAACCUGCUGAGCUGACCUGGAGUUCGCAUCAGUGGGAAAAGGUUUCAAAAAUUGCCUUUUGCAGUCACAGCACAUGAUGGGCUGAGAUGGGGCACAGGGCAGAGUCUCCUUUGGCUGGGACUGGGAGAGUGAGGGACCAGGAUGAGGGGUGGGUCAGUCUCCUGUGACCAAGAAUAUCUUGAUUCCUAUGGGAGAAUAGUUAGCCCUGGGGACAGCAGCCUCAUAGGUCUGUUGCUCCAUUAUAAAACCCAGCUGCCAACUGGAAGCAGCUGUAAAUCUGCCCCUGUGAUGGCCACAGGGUCUGUUUUCCUGUCUGAGUGGGAGAUGGGUCCUGGCUGCCACUCACGGCCUUUCUAAGGACCUGCUGGAGGAAGAGAGCCUGUGAUUGAGUGAAGAGGAGCUGCACGGCGAUUGAGAGACAGUGCAGUCACCCAUAAAGUAGAAAGCACUACUAAACAGCACUGCAGGGUGUAGUGUUUCCUACUUUAUGGAUGAGUGUACUGUGGGCUACGGAGAAGAGAGCACUGCAGUCACCAGGACACGCGACUGCCUGCACCCACCGCUGGAACGGAUUGCUGCAGCCACGCCAUCAUGGAUUGGGAAGCCCUGUGAGCACUUGGGCUGCUGGGCUGAGCUGUAUGUGAUGCUGCCACUGCCUGGAGCCUGUGUUAAUAGUGCCCCAGAGUCCAUGCUUAGCUCCUGAAUCUUUCCACACAGUCACUUUUCCUUCCACUCCUUAAAUAUGGAGAGUUUGAUCAGCUACAACUACUGCCACUGGCAGAGAUGGGAGGGCACUGGAAGUGCUAGGGGAAGGGUAUUCAGUUCCCUAUGGAGUAGGGAGGAAGGUGAGGUGCACCCUGUACACACCAGGCUCUAGGAGUGAAGUGUUGCUGAUGGGUUAGAUCUAGGCAGACUUUAAAGAUGUGAGCAUAAGUGCUGCAGCUCCCAGGGAGCCCAGAGCCACAUCCUCCUGCUUUGAAAAAUGUUUUUCUUGCCCCUAUUACAGAGUGACAGACCGACGCCUGCCUGCAAUGGCAGGACACAGGCAACACACAAUGUACUGCCAAGCACAGAAAGCAGAGCAAUGUGUUUCCUCUGCUCUGAGCUACAGCAGCCUGCAGUGUUAGUAUAACUGCUCAGGGCGUACGCUGCAGACUCCAGUGCAGUGUGUAAGCUGAUUGGGUCUCUUUAAGGUCUUGUUUGAUGUGCCUUUUGAAUUGUUUUGAAUUGUUUCAUUAUGAUGUACAGUGCUGGGAUAGGAGGGGAUUAAUCAAUAAAAUGUUUUAUUAUUUUUUGUAGACUUUUUUGCUAUAUUUGUAUAAAACACAAAGCCAAGUAAGAUACUUACCAGCAUCAGUUCAGACACAAACGCUUGGCAAUCUACCACGCAGGCAGACACUGUGCCCCAGCUUGCACUAUAAAGGGUCCAGUGUUUACUUGCCUAUUAUUGAGUGUGGGCAGUCACUCUAGAGUUCAAAUUGCAAUUGAGUUUCCAUAGAAGCCUGAUUUUACUCCCUUUCUCUAAGUCGCCAGUGAAAGGAUUCUGGGCUCAGCACUAAUUAGGUUAAGUCUGGGGCAGAAUGUUAUUUUUAACCAAAUUUGAAGUGACUUGGGCAAUGGGCUCCUUGGUGAGGACAUCCUUCAGUGAGUGUUCUCCACAGACUAUUUUGCAAGAGAGUUGAAAGAAAAAGAGAGAUAAGAAGUGGUUCACAGGUCCCUGCUGCCCCCCUCCACCUGCACACCCCCAUGCACACCUAGAGCUCUUUGGGAGCCCUGGCUGGUCUAUACUGAAUGGAAGCUGCUAUUACGGUCUGCUCAGAGCCGCUCUUCUACCAAGAAGCCAGGGCGGAGUGUGGGGGAGUGGGGCACUCUGUGGGUGUGUUACUCUUCAAAUCUUAGGGAUGUGUGCCAAGAACUGUCUAGGCCUUGUCCUCUCUGGGCUUUAUUCUGAAAACCUGCCCUGCUGAUGACAGCCCUGGGAGAAUGACUCUUCUGCCACUGUCACUGUUUUGAAUACAGUCUUGAUUGCUCAGUGUUAGACACAUGAGACUAGAGCCACAAAGGGACGUAGACUUCUGACUGUUACUUUAGCCACCUAGGUCCAAAAUUUAGAUCGUAAAAGCCUCAGUUCAGCUGUUGCCUAACCCUGUAGGCACCUAUAUUUCCAGCAGUAAAAUCCCCUAAAAAUUCAUUGGGCCAAACAGCAAGAGUGACUGUAGCCCAGUAGUUAGGGGACUCACCUGGGAGAUUCAAAUUCCACCUCCCUGCUCCAAUGACUCAUAAGUAUUUUAUACGAAGUGGAAUGGCCUCCACAAGAGGGAUUCCCCCCCAAACACCCCCCCAGUAGUUAGGGCUGACACAUGGGAGAGCUGGGUUCAAACCUCAGGCAAAGUGGAAAUUUGAACCUAGGUUUCCUACAUGCCAGCCAAGGGCUUAACCUACUGGGUUUUAGGGUGUCAGUGCCUCAACAACCUGGAGUUUUCUUGAGAAAGGGCUGAGCUGGCUUAGGGCUAAGCUCCAGGAGUGUGCUUGUGGCUGUGAAUCUGGCCCUCUCCCUCUGACCGAGACUUAGGUGCCAAAGUCCCUUUGAGGGGCAGGGCUUAUGCCCACCCUUCUCAGCAUUUUCUAUUGGCUAGUUUAGACAGCUCCUUGCUCAACCCACUGGCUUUUGUGACUCCCAUUCGUAGGUGCCUAACUCUCCCCUUGUGUUGUGUGGGCACCUAAACUGGAGGCUGUGGGUUCAAAUAGACAGCAGGGCACCUAACUGUUUGGUGUUCCAAUUUUCAAACACAGCCACCGUGGAUGCAUGUGGCCACCAGGGGCUUUUUAUGUGGCCAUAGCUUCGUGGGAGGAGGGCAAAGCAUGUUAACAAACAUCACUUUUUACAGAAACAGACUUACUAGCUAGCAAGUCUUUUUUAAAAAGCAACCAAAAAAGCAAAAGAAACAACAACAAAAAAGACAAGACUAUGCCAAGCACGUUAUUUGUUUCUCUUCUGUUUAGGUCCAGUAAAGAAUAGAAACAACUGUACAUUAAUUUUAUUAUUGAGGCUGUGGUAAAAAUCUACAUAAAUAAAAUACAGUGAUUUGGACA